ensembl:lncRNA
GGGGAGGGGGGCGCUGGGUUGCUGACUCGGAGCUCUGCUGCGGUGAGCUUUGAGCUAGCGACUCUCUGAGCUCUCUGGUUGUGCAUGUGUCUGUAGGUUGCCGUGGUGCAGACCGUAGCCUCGCCUCCCUCCAAACACUUUCACGUUUCAGUCGGCCGGCGGCUCCGGUGCGUUUCAGUUGCAGCCAGACUCUACAGUCCUGAAGUGUCUCUGUCUGUAGCUGAGGAUUUCCUGCCCCUGGAAGGAUUCUCUCUCUCUCUUUCUGGCCAAGGCAGAGAGAGAAAGAGAGACAGAUAGUAAGAGGAGAGGAAAGGAAGACAGGAGGAGGAAGAGCGACCAGGAGUGACCUUCGUGGUGUGGUGGCAAAAGCAGAGGAGGAGGAAACGGGAACAAGCGUAGGAUCCAUCAGGGGGUCCAGUCAGCAACGGCGUUAAGAUUCACACCACAUCACACGACUCCCACCCAUCGAACAAGAGGAGUAUGACGAGGCCAGACACGGCUCUGCUCUUCUUUUCUUUCUGCUGUGGUCCUUCCUCGUCGCCAGGCCUCGGUGC